GACGCGGGCCUGCAGCCCUGCAGUGGGCAUUGGCUAGAACACCAUUCAACUGCAGCUAUGUUAAUGGCUUUGGCCAAGUAACACUUGAAGUUCAACUGAGCCAGAAAGGACAGAGACGAGUGCUACUGAAGUGGAAAUGUCUUAAAUCCUGUUUUGUGAUUUCCCCGCCUCAGAGCUGAGUCACCCCCUGCCCGGAGAAAGGAUCCUUCAUUUCAUGGCUCACUCACUUCCUAUCCAAGCCAUCUCAAGUGAAGGGAGAAAGAACCAAGGAAUCCCUCCUGCGCCUGGACCUGAAGACGAAGGAAGGACUGUAAUCCCAGCUUCUCUGGAGGACGAGGCAGGAAGAGUUCCAGGCCACUCUGGGAAAUUUAGAGACUCUCAAAAAAAAAAAAAAAAAAAAUCAAAAGGAAUGGAAACUUCAAGGGGUCACACUACAGUGGAUGACCUACUCAGCACAGAUGGGUCCUGUGCCCUAGCACCCAGUAGGUAAACCACCUGCUUGUCUGUUCCCUAGCAUCUAAUACUGGUAAGAGAGAAAAAGCCCCCAACUUCCUCUGCCUCUCUCCUCACUCCCAUCCCAACUCAGAGUCCCAGGUCGGUUAAGAACCCCCUAACCCCACAGGCAGCUGUCCUUUGCACUCAGCCAACCAAGGUGGGGUGGGCAUGACCCCCCCAUUCUGGCUUGUACUUCCUCUCUCUGUUGCCAGGAUUCUAGUUGGCAUUGCUCGCCUGCCACUCUCUCCAUUCCAACCGUCUCUCUUCACUCUGAACCCCCAAAGCCUGCUCAAGACCCAGUUGGUUCAGAGCUCAGGUUCACGUGCCUUGGGAGAGGGUUCUGUUAGUCUGGAAAAUGAGUGCAGCCGUCAGACAAGAAACUGGCCGGGGAUGGGGGCUGGGGGGAGGGAAGACGACCGAGGAGCCCCCCCCUUCCCCAUCCCAUGAUUUCCUUUGUCUCCUGUCCCAAUCCCAACCCACCUCCCCACCCCCAGCUUAUGAGCCUGGAGGCUUCCCAAUAAAACAGUAUUGUAACC
rnacentral:lncRNA from 1 species